rnacentral:rRNA from 1 species
CAGUUGGAAACGACUGCUAAGACUGGAUAGGAGACAAGAAGGCAUCUUCUUGUUUUUAAAAGACCUAGCAAUAGGUAUGCUUAGGGAGGAGCUUGCGUCACAUUAGUUAGUUGGUGGGGUAAAGGCCUACCAAGACUAUGAUGUGUAGCCGGGCUGAGAGGUUGAACGGCCACAUUGGGACUGAGACACGGCCCAAACUCCUACGGGAGGCAGCAGUAGGGAAUUUUCGGCAAUGGAGGAAACUCUGACCGAGCAACGCCGCGUGAACGAUGAAGUAUUUCGGUACGUAAAGUUCUUUUAUUAGGGAAGAAUAAAUGAUGGAAAAAUCAUUCUGACGGUACCUAAUGAAUAAGCCCCGGCUAACUAUGUGCCAGCAGCCGCGGUAAUACAUAGGGGGCAAGCGUUAUCCGGAAUUAUUGGGCGUAAAGGGUGCGUAGGCGGUUAAAUAAGUUUAUGGUCUAAGUGCAAUGCUCCACAUUGUGAUGCUAUAAAAACUGUUUAGCUAGAGUAAGAUAGAGGCAAGUGGAAUUCCAUGUGUAGUGGUAAAAUGCGUAAAUAUAUGGAGGAACACCAGUAGCGAAAGGCGGCUUGCUGGGUCUUUACUGACGCUGAGGCACGAAAGCGUGGGGGAGCAAACAGGAUUAGAUACCCUGGUAGUCCACGCCGUAAACGAUGAGUACUAAACGUUGGGUAAAACCAGUGUUGAAGUUAACACAUUAAGUACUCCGCCUGAGUAGUACGUACGCAAGUAUGAAACUUAAAGGAAUUGACGGGACUCCGCACAAGCGGUGGAUCAUGUUGUUUAAUUCGAAGGUACCCGAAAAACCUCACCAGGUCUUGACAUGCUUCUGCAAAGCUGUAGAAACACAGUGGAGGUUAUCAGUUGCACAGGUGGUGCAUGGUUGUCGUCAGCUCGUGUCGUGAGAUGUUGGGUUAAGUCCCGCAACGAGCGCAACCCUUAUUGUUAGUUACCAGCACGUAAUGGUGGGGACUUUAGCAAGACUGCCAGUGAUAAAUUGGAGGAAGGUGGGGACGACGUCAAAUCAUCAUGCCCCUUAUGACCUGGGCUACAAACGUGAUACAAUGGCUGUUACAAAGGGUAGCUGAAGCGCAAGUUUUUGGCGAAUCUCAAAAAAACAGUCUCAGUUCGGAUUGAAGUCUGCAACUCGACUUCAUGAAGUUGGAAUCGCUAGUAAUCGCGAAUCAGCAUGUCGCGGUGAAUACGUUCUCGGGGUUUGUACACACCGCCCGUC